rnacentral:rRNA from 1 species
AUUGAACGCUGGCGGCAUGCUUUACACAUGCAAGUCGAACGGCAGCGCGGGCUUCGGCCUGGCGGCGAGUGGCGAACGGGUGAGUAAUACAUCGGAACGUGCCCAGUAGUGGGGGAUAGCUCGGCGAAAGCCGGAUUAAUGCCGCAUACGACCUGAGAGUGAAAGCGGGGGAUCUUCGGACCUCGCGCUAUUGGAGCGGCCGAUGGCAGAUUAGCUAGUUGGUGGGGUAAAGGCCUACCAAGGCGACGAUCUGUAGCUGGUCUGAGAGGACGACCAGCCACACUGGGACUGAGACACGGCCCAGACUCCUACGGGAGGCAGCAGUGGGGAAUUUUGGACAAUGGGCGAAAGCCUGAUCCAGCAAUGCCGCGUGUGUGAUGAAGGCCUUCGGGUUGUAAAGCACUUUUGGCGGGAACGAAAAGGACUGUGCCAAUACCACGGUUCGAUGACGGUACCCGCAGAAUAAGCACCGGCUAACUACGUG